rnacentral:misc_RNA from 1 species
UUGACUUAUUAAAAUAAGACGCUCAGAUUACUUAAAAAUAGCAAGAGUUUAGUAGUCCACCGGCAGGCGCUACAGGGUAAGCCGUUCCCGGGUAGGUCGCUACAGGGUAGCUCGCUACAGGGUAGGUUCGCCCAGCAACAUCUGCCGAGGCAACAGUGGUAAGUUCACAUGGGUUUGGGAGUUAGAUAACUCUGUAAUGAUCCCUCCGCUGGUUCACCAACGGAGA